GACGAACGCUGGCGGCGUGCUUAACACAUGCAAGUCGAACGGAAAGGCCCUGCUUUUGUGGGGUGCUCGAGUGGCGAACGGGUGAGUAACACGUGAGUAACCUGCCCUUGACUUUGGGAUAACUUCAGGAAACUGGGGCUAAUACCGGAUAGGAGCUCCUGCUGCAUGGUGGGGGUUGGAAAGUUUCGGCGGUUGGGGAUGGACUCGCGGCUUAUCAGCUUGUUGGUGGGGUAGUGGCUUACCAAGGCUUUGAAGGGUAGCCGGCCUGAGAGGGUUACCGGGCACAUGGGGACUGAGAUAGGGACCAGACUGCUACGGGAGGCAGCAGGGGGGAAUCUGGCACAAUGGGCGGAAGCCUGAUGAAGCAACGCCGCGUGCGGGAUGACGGCCUUCGGGUUGUAAACCGCUUUAGCCUGGGACGAAGCGUGAGUGACGGUAAUGGGUAAAGAAGCACCGGCUAACUACGUG
rnacentral:rRNA from 1 species